CCUGCACCCCUCCCCUAAUGCCUUCCUAUUGGUAAAAGAUUGUGUCCUCCCCUUAUUCCCGCCGUCCUUAAAAGCAGCUUUUUGCUGUCAGUUGUUGUCACUUGUUUCUGAAUUCUCUGGGGGAGUAAGGCUUCCUUGGAACUCAAAACCAGUGACCCCCCCUCUCUAUUUUUUUGCCUGGUUUCUCGUACUGUGCUGCGGCUGUGUUCCCCAGGCCGCUGCGGGGAGCUGCGAGCCCCGGCACGCAGCGCCACCCGGGGGACUCGGUGAGGAUCCGGGGGCGGCCGCUCUUGUCACUGCGCACCGGGCUCGGGGAGAGAGCUGCCCGGGGAGCGUCUUCCCUGUGACCGCAGCGCGCAGACACAAGCUUUCUAUGUCAGGCUACCUCAAUUGAAGCCAUGGCAAUAGUUCCCAUCCUACCUCAGGCUCAUAUCUGAACUGCUCUUUGACAAGGAAAGAACUUGAGGCUUAUAUUCCUGCUUGAGCUGAAGUAUCUCCAGAGCCUGUAUGAGCCCUCAGACCCCCCAGCCUGGCUGGUGGGAGCUGGCAGAACAUCCCCUGGGAAGUGCCAGCUGAUAGCUGCAAGAGAACAGCACGGGGUGAGCGUAUUCCCUCCCUCUUCGCCCAGACAAGUCCAAGUUGUCCUCCAAACAUGGCAGACUGUACCUCUCUGAGACAAGUUCUGGGGUGACAGCAAAUUGCAAAGUGCAAGCCUCUGGAGGCAAUCACCAUCUGAGCUACUGCUCAUUACUUCUGUCUUUGAGCUCAACAUCCUCACCUGGGAUAUCUGAUGGUGCUGCUUCCUUCUGCUGGCUCUGGCAGCCAGCACAUUGUCAGCAGAGUGUGAGAGGGGGAGCAUGAGGUACAGCUCAGGAAGGAAAACUGCAUUCUUCCUGAAGUGCAGGAUUAAGAUGGUAUUCAGAAAUCUCAGUCAUUUUAUAUGAAGCCUCACAGCAGCAGUCAAUCCCUGCUCUGAAGACCUUAGACUCUCAACAGGAUUCCCUGGAGGAGAGCUGAUGGGAGAGAAUGGGGUUAAUACCAGCACAGAAUUUGAACCAUUUGUUGUUAAGUGGGAAUAAACUACCAUUGUCAUAAGUCUCUUUUGAUGAGCUGAAUUAUACCCAAGAUGAAAGGCACCUCGAUGACUAGUAUGAACAUUUACCUUGCAGACAUCCUCCUUAUGGACAGUGAAUCCAACCCACGGAGUUACAUUUUCUCAGAAGCGAAAUGGAACUGAAGGAAGGGGUCCUCGGGUUCAUUGAUCAGCUGAGGUCCAUCUUCAGAAGGCCAGACAGCCCAGCAUCUACAGCCAGGCACUUGCCUAUAAGCAAGCAGACAUUUACCCUUACCAGGCUAUCAAUGCAAAAAGCUGUCAAGUAAUAAGCCUAAUCAAUGUUUUUGCUUGAUGUGGCACAGUGAGGAAAAGACUAAAGAAGACUAAAAGGUGAAAUGAGAUGAGAAAUCACUUCUCAGCUUUCGUAAUACUCAUAUAGAAGAGUAGAUGAUAAAAAGGGUAGAUCCUAAAAAAAGGCCAGAAGCAUCACCCCAUAUUGGAGAAAAUUAAACCCUUUUUAGUGGAGGAGCCUGCUGGAUGGCAUGUGAGCUCAGAGGAACCCAGGAAAACUGGCAAGCCUGCCUCUAAAUUUGGCUUUUGUCUUGUUAUCUGUAGGAUAAUUCCAGGACACUUCAGUUCACUCAGACCAGCAGCAACAGUGAAAAUAAAGCUGUUGUCAUUCAAGUCA